rnacentral:misc_RNA from 1 species
CAUCAAAGACGUAGGCUUGGAUCUGUGCUCUGGUAUUGCUGAGCUUAUAGAAAGCAUCUGCAGCCUUUUCUGCCAGUGCCCGGUAUUGAAUAGAAGCAACCACAUUAACAAACACGUUAUCCUUGGUUUUAGUUUCACAUCGAACAUCCAGCUGCUGCACACGUAACGAAAGAUGACCUGCUAGCUGGCUCCCCAAACACCAAGGCAAACAGUGACAACCAGGUUCAAGCACCUCAUUGAACUUCCCAAAGGUUUCCUUGACAGCUACAGUUGACUGGUCCACUUGAAUACAACCCAGAGCUUGUCCCAUUUUCUGAUCAUACCAAGUACAGUAACAUCUGUAAUAAUCUGCUGACAAUUCUCAGAAUAUUCCAAUAGAUGCAUGUUUUCCUUUAUGGCAGGGCAUUUACCAUCCUCGUAAAUGUAUCAACAAAGUAACACAACACAAAAACCCUAAAAAAUGAAUACAAGCUCUAAUUAUAUUCAGAGUGCAGAAGAGCAGAUGCACUCAUGCACAAGUAGGCUAAGAUAAUCACUAAACAUUGAUCUUUGAGAACAUGAAACAAUCACGUUUAAAAACCACUUCAACAAUUUCAGAAUCCCACUUCAUGGAUGAUCCUAGUAAUUCUAAGAACCAAAAUAUAAUAGAAACUCUAGAACAAGAACAUAUUUAUUCACCAACCAAUUUUCACCCUUGCCUGAACUAAGACUACUAAGACUACUUGACUUGUUAAGAAUUAAUAAAUGCUUACAAGGCCAUAU